GAUGAACGCUGGCGGCGUGCUUAACACAUGCAAGUCGAACGGAAAGGCCCAAGCUUGCUUGGGUACUCGAGUGGCGAACGGGUGAGUAACACGUGGGUGAUCUGUCCUGCACUUCGGGAUAAGCCUGGGAAACUGGGUCUAAUACCGGAUAGGACCACUUCUUGGAUGUUGUGGUGGAAAGUUUUUCGGUGUGGGAUGAGCUCGCGGCCUAUCAGCUUGUUGGUGGGGUAAUGGCCUACCAAGGCGUCGACGGGUAGCCGGCCUGAGAGGGUGUACGGCCAGAUUGGGACUGAGAGACGGGCCAGACUCCUAAGAGAGGCAGCAGUGGGGGAAAUGGGACAAUGGGCGCAAGCCUGAUGCAGCGACGCCGCGUGGGGGGUGACGGCCUUCGGGUUGUAAGGUUCGUACGCUAGGGAUGAAGCGUAUGUUGUGACGGUAACUGGAGAAGAAGCCCCGGCUAACUACGUG
rnacentral:rRNA from 1 species